CCUACGGGUGGCAGCAGUGAGGAAUAUUGGUCAAUGGGCGCGAGCCUGAACCAGCCAAGUAGCGUGAAGGAUGACUGCCCUACGGGUUGUAAACUUCUUUUAUAAAGGAAUAAAGUGAGGCACGUGUGCCUUUUUGUAUGUACUUUAUGAAUAAGGUUCGGCUAACUCCGUUCCAGCAGCCGCGGUAAUCCGGAGGAGCCGGUCGUUGUCCGGAUUUGGUGGGUUUAAAGGAAGCGUAGAUGGGUUGUUAGGUCAGUUGUGAAAGUUUGCGGCUCAACCGUAAAAUUGCAAUUGAUACUGGCAGUCUUGAGUACAGUUGAGGUAGGCGGAAUUCGUGGUGUAGCAGUGAAAUGCUUAGAUAUCACGAAGAACUCCGAUUGCGAAGGCAGCUUACUAAACUGCCACUGACAUUGAGGCUCGAAAGUGUGGGUAGCAAACAGGAUUAGAUACCCCAGUAGUC
rnacentral:rRNA from 1 species